rnacentral:lncRNA from 1 species
UUUGACUCAAUCCAAUAUUCAUUUUCGAUAUUUUCGUUCCCCUAAUACAUCAAUUUCAUUAUCACCAUUCAAUAUAUGGUUUGAUCUCAAUUUCGAGAAUGAUUCAUAAUUUCAAUACAUUGGUCCAAAAUUCAAAACCACAUUCCAAUUUACACAAUACCAUUAUAUAACCACUACAAUUUCCAAUCAAAAGUUACAAGGUGAUAUUUCCACAUACAUUUCAUAAACUACACAACCAUUACAACCAUUUCAUUACAUUUCAAAUUCAAUAAUCUCAUACAUUUCAAAGUCCGAAACAGCUCCAUUGCAUUUUAUCAUCCAAGAUUCCAAGCAAGCCCUGAACUAAGCAACUCGCAUCCAAGCGGUUAACCUGCACUCAAAGUAUAAAAAUCAGUGAACCAAAGCGGUUAACCUGCACCCGGCAACUGAAACAAAAAACAAUAGAAAUAACAACUUUCAUGACAACUUUUAAACCUCCAACCUUCAUAACCAAAGCUACGAUGAUACUGCCAACCGACACAAAACUUUGCAGCCCUCCAAAAGGAAACAAUCUUGAACAGAGCCUAAAAUAACCAAAAUGCUAAGAGAACAAUAACAAAAUCCUUUUCUAACAAACCCAUAAGCUCUCCCGAACAAAAUUCUUCAAAACUGAAAUUCCCUCCAACAAUUCAGAGGCUAACCAAUCCCAACAGAAUAUAACAGAAUUCAUAACUAGCUAACCGACUCCUCAACUAUGGUAACCAAUCAUAACAACUUUUGUCAACUCUAACAAACUCCACAACUAAUAAAAUUCCAACAAACUUCAGCAAACUGUUUACAACAGAAUAACUUCCCCAUUUUUCUCUAGCCACCAUAACACAACCUCUAACUAACUUCACUCCAUCAUCUUCACCAUCAUUCAACAACUCUUCUCCACCCUCAUAAAAACCUUGAUACCCUCCAUUUUCAUCUUCCAAUCACACGAUCAACCAUUCCUCACUCCCUCUUCACCCUGCUAACAAAGCUGAACAACUUCAUCACAAAACCAAUCUUCUCCACUCUCCAUCACACUUAACAUAACCUUUAUCAUUGUCCUCGAUAACCAACCCCAAUUCUGCAACCUGCAGAACCUCCACAACCACCGAUCAAACUUCACCCUGGAACAACUCCCCUUUCUAAACCUAUGCCCUGAAAACGAGUCGGUACGUGGAGAGCCUCAAAUCCUCGUGGACGACGUGUUGAUGACGAGGGUACGGGGGGACGCGCGAUCCACUUCGUCUUACUUCAGCUGUGAUUCCCACAUGUGCUUAGAGGAUUUCACCACCUCGGAUUGGAUAUUGGAGGUGCGGUUGUUGGUUCUUCAGUGAACUGGUAUUUCUCGAAAGACUUGGGCCUUUGGCCCAAGCAAGUUUUCGCUUCUUG